AUGUGGAGUAACAACAAAUCAAGAACAAUGCAUCAUCAGCAGCAUCCACUAUGCACACGCACGCACCAGAUCGGGUCCUUACUCCUAGUCGCCGCCACCUUCUUCCUCACAAGACUCUUGGACGCUCCUUGCAACCUCUCCUCCACCGUCUCGCAACAGAAAUUCCUCGGGAUCCACCGGUUACCGGAAUCGGAAGAAUUUUCGCUCAAGAUCUAUGUCUACGAUGCCAAAGAGAUCGAUGGAUUGAAGGAACUUUUGCAAGGAAGAGAGGGUAAGAUCACACCGGAAGCUUGCUUGAAAGGACAGUGGGGUAGUCAGGUGAAAAUACACAAGUUACUUUUAGAGUCAAGAUACAGGACGAGAAAGAAGGAGGAAGCGGAUUUGUUUUUUGUUCCGUCGUAUGUUAAAUGUGCGCGGAUGAUGGGUGGACUUAACGACAAAGAAAUUAAUCAAACUUAUGUUAAAGUUAUUAGCCAAAUGCCGUAUUUUCGGUUAUCUGGAGGAAGGAACCACAUAUUUGUUUUCCCAAGUGGAGCUGGAGCUCACUUGUUCAAGUCUUGGGCAACAUAUAUAAAUCGCUCCAUUAUUCUUACCCCUGAGGGGGACCGCACUGAUAAGAGAGAUACUAGUGCCUUUAAUACAUGGAAAGAUAUAAUCAUUCCAGGACGUGCUCAAGGAAAAGCUGGGCGUCUUCAGCUAAUAGAACUUUCAAAACAAUUUCCAGAGAAGUUGGAAUGUCCAGAUUUGAAAUUCAGCGGAGGCGAAAAGCUGGGAAGGAAAGAUUAUUUUGAACACUUGCGCAAUUCCAAGUUUUGCCUCGCCCCGCGUGGGGAGUCAUCAUGGACCCUUCGAUUUUACGAGUCUUUCUUUGUGGAAUGUGUUCCAGUUAUAUUAUCAGAUCAAAUAGAAUUGCCAUUCCAGAAUG